AGCAUCAUCGCCAAAUCUGCCUCCCCCCUUUGUGCUACACGCUGGCAGCCAAGAAAAAGCACCUUGAUAUUCCAGCCCCACGCAGCAUGCAGAGCACUGAGGCUUGAGGCAGGGGAGGACACCGCGCUGCUGAGACACAGGCAGUGGGAAACAGGGAAUACAUCUGUGCGGCAUCUGCAUAGCAAUGAUACCCGCAAGCAUAGUGCCCAAAAAAUCACAUCGAAUAAAAUAAUUAAAAAAUAAAUAAUAGAACAGGAAAAAGUGGGAGAAAAUAACAAGUCACCAUUGGAGAUCAGUAACUUCAAUACCUUCUGUGUCGUGGAAGAGGCAGAGAGAUCCAAAGAACCCCACUAUAGAGAGAUCCAAAUCCUUAUUUGUCCAACAACAAAGCUAUCUUAAAUAUUGCAGUGAAGUUGUCAGAUUUGUGAUACAAAAUGCUGAUAAUAGAUGGGUAUCUUCACAGGCAGGUACAGUUCAGGUACAGUUCUGCUGUGAAAACUCCAUGGGAGUGCAAAAAAUAGAAAAACUGCUGCAAAAAUGGAACCAGAAGGACUGAUGCCAUUUUUUCUCAUUUUAGUGACAGUACAGUGGUUGCCAGCCAUGCCAUGCUGGGCACUGGGAACCCCUUGGAUGGAGGCAAAGCUGGCAAGGAACCACAGGCAAAGUUGUUAUCAGGAAACAUCCUCAGCUUGCAGGCCCAGGCUGGGGGAUGCAUGUUGGCAUGGGAAAUUUGGGUCCUUCCAGCCCUGGCUGCACCCUCCGGCGUUUGGGAGCUCCUGGCUCUGCAGCUCGCUGUGGGGCUGCACCCUGCUGUCUCCCACAGCAGAGCUGAGGCAUUUUGGGAGGCAGGAGCCAUUCUGCACAGCCCGCACUGAGUCCUGCCCAGCCCUCAGGCACUGCAGAUCUUUUGCCAAAAAGGAAUCUUUGUGCAGGAGGCAUCUUCCCCAGCAGAACCACAUCCCAGCCCUCCUCCUGCGGUCACUGAGCUCAUACGAGCCUUGUGUGUCUGGGUUAGCAUAGAACACAGUCAUCCAUCUGCGUGUCCUCGUGGAAACAUUGGGUCUUCCCACCUGAGAAAUAAGAAAAACACAAGGGAAUAAAGCAAAGCACAGACUGUGCCAUCUGUUCCGAGGCUGCAGCACACACCAGAGCACAGUAACCACAUUUACUGCGUGGAGCCACAACACAACACCAGACCCUGCCAGGGACAUCUUCACUGAGCACACAGCCGGGUGACGGAGCAGCACCAGGCCCAUCUCCUGCUCCAUUCCCUUACAGAUGCCAGAAAAGAAGCAUGAGGGGCUGCAGCCGUGCAACCAACAUGCAGCUCUCACAGUGUGCAGAGCAGCUCCUGUGCCCGGCUCUGAGAGGGGCUGCCCUCCGAAAAGGAAAACAGAAAGGAGGAAAAAAAAAACUUUGAACACUUCAUGGCAAACUCCUUCAAAAGAAAACUUGCUUCGAGCCAAAAAGCAUUUGCCAAGUUUCAACUAAAUGUAAGUUUUCACAAUGCUGUAAUAAACAGCUCAGGAUGGGGGUUUCCAGAUGAGAAUGUUGAGACAACUUUGUUCCAACCAAUUAAAAGAACAUGU
ensembl:lncRNA